rnacentral:rRNA from 1 species
UACGGAGGGUGCGAGCGUUGUCCGGAAUCACUGGGCGUAAAGGGCGCGUAGGCGGCUUUUUAAGGGUGCGGUGAAAGCCCGGGGCUUAACCCCGGGUCGGCCGUGCCGACUGAAAAAGCUGGAGCACUGUAGAGGCAGGUGGAAUUCCGGGUGUAGCGGUGGAAUGCGUAGAGAUCCGGAAGAACACCAGUGGCGAAGGCGGCCUGCUGGGCAGUUGCUGACGCUGAGGCGCGACAGCCGUGGGGAGCAAACAGG